UACAGAGGUGGCAAGCGUUGUUCGGAAUUACUGGGCGUAAAGGGCGCGUAGGCGGCUUGGUCAGUCCCGUGUGAAAUCCCUCGGCUCAACUGAGGAACUGCACGGGAAACUGCCUGGCUUGAGUUCGGGAGAGGGAAGCGGAAUUCCGGGUGUAGCGGUGAAAUGCGUAGAUAUCCGGAGGAACACCGGUGGCGAAGGCGGCUUCCUGGACCGACACUGACGCUGAGGAGCGAAAGCUAGGGGAGCAAACGGG
rnacentral:rRNA from 1 species